AAUAUUGACAAUUUGAUCAACAGGUAUAAUUCUUUAAUUGUUCCUUUGGAACUAUGGCGAUAAACGUGCUCGAAAUAAACGGAUCGGACCCGGGGGCGGUACCCGGCGGCUCCACCAUGAUGAUAGGGGGCCGAAAUAGGAUCGACGAACGCGUAAAGGGGUUAACUUUCGCCCGGUGGGGUACCGCUGUUAUCGGUCCAAAUUGCACAAUUGCCAAUGACAAUCGUGCUCCGAUCGCUCUUGCUGCGUGAGCCGUAAGAUAAUCGGGUCUGACUCUGGGAUUCAAUAGCACAAUCCCAGCGGGGUUUGGCGGGUACCUGGCAACAGAAACCUGCCACU
rnacentral:tmRNA from 2 species